rnacentral:rRNA from 1 species
AUCGAACGCUGGCGGUAUGCUUAACACAUGCAAGUCGAACGAUGAGAAAGAGCUUGCUCUUUCGAUUAGUGGCGGACGGGUGCGUAAAGCGUAGGAAUCUACCUAUUAGUGGGGGAGAACGUAGGGAAACUUAAGCUAAUACCGAAUACGCCCUACGGGGGACAGACGGGGAUCGCGAGACCUUUUGCUAAUAGAUGAGCCUGCGUAGGAUUAGAUAGUUGGUGGGGUAAAAGCUCACCAAGGCGACGAUCCUUAACUGGUUUGAGAGAAUGAUCAGUCACACUGGAACUGAGAAACGGUCCAGACUCCUACGGGAGGCAUCAGUUAGGAAGAUUCCACAAUGGGCGAAAGCCUGAUGGAGCAACGCCGCGUGGAGGAUGAAGGCCUUAUGGUUGUAAAGCACUUUAAGCGAGGAGGAGGCUACUGAGACUAAUACUCUUGGAUAGUGGACGUUACUCGCAGAAUAAGCCCCGGCUAACUCUGUGCCAGCAGCCGCCGUAA